rnacentral:rRNA from 1 species
AGCGAACGCUGGCGGCAGGCCUAACACAUGCAAGUCGAACGAACUCUUCGGAGUUAGUGGCGGACGGGUGAGUAACACGUGGGAACGUGCCGUUUGGUUCGGAAUAACUCAGGGAAACUUGUGCUAAUACCGAAUGUGCCCUUCGGGGGAAAGAUUUAUCGCCCUUAGAGCGGCCCGCGUCUGAUUAGCUAGUUGGUGAGGUAACGGCUCACCAAGGCGACGAUCAGUAGCGGGUCUGAGAGGAUGACCCGCCACACUGGGACUGAGACACGGCCCAGACUCCUACGGGAGGCAGCAGUGGGGAAUCUUGCGCAAUGGGCGAAAGCCUGACGCAGCCCUGCCGCGUGAAUGAUGAAGGUCUUAGGAUUGUAAAAUUCUUUCACCGGGGACGAUAAUGACGGUACCCGGAGAAGAAGCCCCGGCUAACUUCGUG